AUGAAGCCCGAUAACUUCCAAGUAUUGGAAUUUCUACUUCUAGGUGACUCCAAUAUUGUUACUCUCUCAGAAAGCAUUAGUAGAUCCGCUAGAUUAGAACUUCUUGACAUUGACAAUUGCAACCAGCUUCAAGAAAUUCCAAGGGUUCCACAAUCAAUGGGAAUGGUGGAUGCAAGGAGCUGCAUAGGGUUGUGAUGUAUAACAGACAGCACAUGCCUUCUUAGAGCAACAAGGGCACAGGACAAGGGCACAGGAAGUCACAACGCAAGAUCAAAGGGGGGUGCCAGUAGGGGCCAUCAGAGGUAACAGUGUCGGAAUUGCAUGAAAUUUGGCAGGUUGAAGGGAAACAGCGUUCUGAUCCAGAUUCAUGAUAGCAUGAAUGUCGCCAAAUUUUAGGCAAAUUCCUUCGUUAAGGCCCCGAAAAUAAUGUUUUUGCUAUUUAUAGUAAUAUUUGUUUUUCCUUAAUAACUUUUAGUUUAAAAGUCAGAAUAAGGUCCCGUCUUUUUUGGGACGACCCUUAAGGUCAGUAGUUUAUGAUUCUGCGUUUAACUCAAUUUUGUCAUUUUUGGUAAAAUUCGGUAAUUUUGUCACCUAAUCGCUUAAUUAGUGCGAAUUAGGAUUUUAAACGUUUUUGCUCAGUAUUUAUAUGUUUUGUAGCCGUCAGAGGCAAAUUAGACUAUUAUCAAUAAACACAGACUUUUGUCAAAUUUUCUUCUGGUGGAUUCCAGUUUUAUCUCCUUGUGGAUUCAGGGAAACCCUUCGUGGAUUCGAGGUUUACUACCAGAAACUAACAGUUUAGUUUCUGUUCCAUCAAGAGAGCAUCGUGUGUGUCUCUCUUCAGGCUUCCGCGACAUCAGGUUGGAUCCAAAAACAUCAAGCAGAUUAUUGAAUCAAGUGAUCUCUCUCUCUCUCUCUCUCUCUCUCUCUCUCUCUCUCUCUCUCGUUUAAGUUAUAGAGAAACAAUAUUUGUUACUUUUCCCAAAUUCAUGUUACUUAAAUUUCUUGUAUUUGCUAAAUGAAAGUAGUAUUGAGAACAAGGAAGAUAUUGGAAUUGUUCAAUUAAAAUACCAAGAACUGAGAUUCAAAAGUAUUACCAUUGAAGUGUUGGAAAUUCUGUAUCAUUUUGGGUUGGUUACAAUAUUUCAAAAUUUGCCCUCUGAAUUUCUUUUGAUUGGUGGAGGCGCUAGACUGAAGUUUCUCCUUUUACGUUUCCAUCAAUGGUAGUAAAAAAACAUAUCCAUGUUGAAAAUAUAAUAGAUUUGUUUGAGCAUCUGCUCAUGGAUUUUGUAUCUUUUACUCAUGAGGAUAAGUAUUUAUUUCGAUUUAGACGGAAUCACGAUGAGGUUGAGGUUAUAUCUUUUCUUGUUAUCCUUAGAUAUUCAAAUUUUGCUUUGUUCUUCAAAAUGCAUUUCUUAAUAUUCAAAUGUGGUGGGCUUUAUAAUGAUUUUUAGUUUUACAUUUGCUAUCUAUGUUUUUUUUUUUUGGUAAACAUUUGCUAUCUAUGUUGAAUGUGAGUAUUGUCACUUUUCAACUGAAAAAAAAAAAUAUAAAAAAAAUAAAAAUAAAAAAAAGGUUAUAUAUAGAUGUUAAGUGAGCCAUAAGUCAACUUGUAAGUCAACCAUGUUGGGAGUAGGAGGUAGUAUUUAUCACAUUUAGAAGAAGAUGCUAUACUUUAUUCAAUCUACUAAACUUUGUAGUUCUCUUUCAAAUCAGCUUGGGAGAAAAUUUUCCGAAGUGAAGUUGAGGAAAUUGAUCCGGUAUUCUUAACAUUCCAUUAGUUGCUGCCUUCCUUUGAGGAUUAGACUCUCCACUUGAGACAAGCUGUUAAAAUGGGGUUAUCUAGGAAUGUGUUACAUGUCUUCUAUGUAAUACUCUACUCUCUUGCCACCCAUCUAUUUUCUCAUUGGAAACCCCUAGGCUCCAAGGUAUUGAAGGAUUCACAAUGUUUUUCUUUUUCCAAUUCCUUUUUGGAAAACAUGCAUACUUUGAAUUUGAAACUUUCUAAUAAAUUUUUGUUUCAGUUUUACCAAAUAACGACUAUGUUUGAUGAUUGUUUUAAAUUGAAAUUUAAGUCAAGCACACUAGCUGUUUGAUGAUAUGCUUCUUCAGAAUAUUGAACCUGCUUGCUAAGAUGUUUCUAACUUUCUUGUGUGUUUUAAAUUUUGAUAUUGUUUAUUGUCAUAGAUGUUUCUUUACUUUAAUUGAUUCAUUGAAUAAUAUUACUUAGAUUGUUUUGUUAUUUUAUUGAAAGGUAAAUGACAACCAGACAAGAAUGCAUUGAACUUGUUGUCAAGAAAAGUGAAAAUCAAAUUGGCACUAAACUAUGGCUUCAGAAAGGGCCACUUGUUCUUUGAUUAUCCUUUCUCAAAGAGGCUAUAGCAGCAAGUUAACUCAUAUUGUGUAAUAAAAUCCAAGGUAUAUAACUGGUACUAAGUAGUUCUCUAAUGUAAAAAUAAGUUGAAGGGUAGAAGUUUUAGAAGCACCAUAAGCAAACUUGCUAGGUUUGCAAUGGUUUGUUAUGGUAGGCUUAACAUAAAUGCUUGUGUAUUCUGAAGCAAUGUCAAGUCUGACAAAGCAUUAAGGCCAAUGAGUUUGUAAAGAGAAAAUUUUUUGUUAUUGUAUAGGGUCAUGUUGUAAUUUUGUUUUUUAGGGGGUAAGGGGCAGUGGGGAGGUCCAUUUCUAUGAUUUUGAUGGUAGCCAUAAUUGAUCGAUUUAGUUUGAUUCUUUACAUAAUUUAUUUCGUGAAUAAAUUUAAUUUUUCAUCCAAACCCCUGAGUUAAACCAAUUUUUAUUUUAUUUUAUUUUAUUUUGUGGAUCUACAUCUUUAAUGAUCGAUAUUUUGGUGAAUAUUCUUGGAUGGGAGGAUCAAAACAUGUUUGAUGAGAUAAAUUGCAAUUUUUCAUAAUAAUUCACUGGUAUUGAACUCUCUUCUUUUCUUUGAAAAUCUCCUAUACCAAUUUACCUCUUGAAAAUCUCUUAUAUCAAUUUCCCCAUUUUGUUUCCUAGAUUUUGCUUCAAGAGCUAAGGAGUCAUAUUGCAAGAGAGGUAAAGAGUAAACUCCUUUGCUUUGGUAUUUUCUAUCACUUAUGAUUUAGGGAUUUAAUUAUUUUUUAUACAAAUUAAUUGUUUUAAAUUUUCAUUUGUCUGUUUGUCUAGGAAUGUGGAGCAGCUUUUAAAGGACAAGAUCCUAUGUCAAGGUCAUCAAGAUGUACUUUUCUACAGCUAAAUGGUAGGUGAUUCAAUUAGUUACUUUUAAAAAGGCAUCUUUUGAAGUGCAUCUUGUUCAUAAGGUUCUAAAAAGUUAAUAGAGUUUUUGGAUCACAGGAUAAGACAAUAAAUUGAUUGUUAAUCUAAAUGACAAUCUUUGGUUAGUUUUCAUGGGAAAACAUAGAAAGGUGUUUGCUGAGAUUUUGGUUUUGUUUAAUAGUGAUUUGCACUAAAAAAGAAUUGGGCAUAAAAAUUUUCAUAAGAAUACUCAAACACCAAAACUAAAUUUUGGAGGUUCUAAAAUUGCUGCAAAUUUGGGAGGAGCUUCCCAAGGAGGGUAUUUGCUGUUGAGAAUAAUUGGGAUUACUGAGUCUGUUCAAAAUUUUGGAUGUUCCAAGUUCUAGACCAUUAAAACUAUUAUUCAACUUUAUAUUUUGUAUGUAUUUUAAAAUAUUCAAUUAGAAUGCAGAGUCGUAGAUUGGUUUAUUCAUUUAUUUAGUUUAUUUGAUAUUCAUUAAUAUGUAUUACAAUAUGUUUCCUGCUCAUAUUUAUUUGACGUUGAUAUACAGUUAGAUUUAGAUAUGUAGAUUUCCGUAAGCAGUGUAUAAAGCAUUUCGACAUUUUCCAGGUGUGUGUAUAUGAUCAGGGCAAGCUUUUUUGCAUUAAUGAUCCAUUCUCGUUGCAUUAGGUGGUGUUAAAGAAGUGUUUCUUCUAAAAACUGGGCCCAAAGAUAUGUUCUUAAUAAGUUGAGGGGGGUGGGGGGGGGGGGGGGGCGAUUUUUGAAAAAUAAGUGCUUUUUAAAUCACAAAAGCCAGGUACAAAAUUGUUUGAGAUGGGCUUUUUCUUUCUUUUUUCAUUUUCCCUAGGUAAAUUGGGGGAGUGGGGCUGGUGGGGUUUGAACCUUCAUGACCAGACACCAUAAAAGGCGUUGGAGCGCUAUGGUACCUCUUGAAUACCAAGAUUUUGUGAAUGAUUGGUAUUUUAGCAUCUUACAUUUCAAGCCUAUGAAAAUUUACUGUUAGCUGGUCAUUUGAUACAUGCUGGCCAAAUAUUAAGUUGUUGGGCCUCCUAAAUGCCUUUGUUUGGGAUCUCUGUAAGAAUAUAAUUCGUAUUUGAUUGGUUGAGGAGUUAUUUCUAUGAACAUAACAUAAAAUAUGUUUUUAUUUGCUUGUUUCUUUCCUUGUUAAUCAAGAAUAUUUGAAUUAGUAAAGACGGAAAGGCCACAACUUCAUCAUUGUUGGGAUAACAACUAUACCUACUGGCUACUGAUAAAACUCCUUUAUUCCUUAAGUUUUUAUGUUUAUGUGCUUAAAAUGAUCCUUCCAUUCUAUAGGAUCUUCUGUUUGCAUUUAUUGGACCAUUCUCUAAAGCUUUAAAUUAAAUUCUUUUAAGUAGUUUCAAGUCAAGCGGUUUCCAUUGGAAAACAAGACAAUCAGUAAGUUUUAAUGCUAGCUUUUUAAGUCCAAAGUCAUAGUGCUUUCCUCUCUGCUAUUUGUAGGGACGCAGCAAACACAUGGGAAGUGGACACUCCAGUUAAACCACCAGAUGUACUUUUCAGCAUUUUUCUUGGCAGUAUUACACAUGAUCAGAUAUUGAAGGUAUGGAUCUUUCUAUCUUUUCAUGAUAUGUCCAUACAAUGGUGUAAAACCUUUAGAGAAUUUGGUAAAUAUAAUUAUUUUUGGAUGCUUUGUACGAUUGUAUAUAUUACAUGAGGUGUAUGAAUAUGAAAAGAUAUGGGAUUAACUCCAUCAGAUUUUUCGUAAUUGGAAACCCAUAUGUUGGGGGCAGUUUCUUCAGUAAGUGUUUUGGGGAAAAAUGGGCAGUUUUUUGAGAUCAUGUAAGUGCUUUGACUGUCAAAUGUGUUGUCAUGAACUGUGUAGUUAUUUUUGUAUGAUUUUUUAAUUUAAAAAAAAAAAAAAAAAUUCCAGAGUAGAAUGUGCAUCAUUUAAUUGCAAGCUUCCAUCUUUUAACUUUAAUAAAUAUAUAGAUAGAGGGUUCAAGAGUCAAGACACAUCUAUUACAUUUAUCUUGCUUAAAUGUUCCUUGGGUAUCUUCUUUAAAAUUAUUUCAAUAGGAAUGUUUUAAAAUCAAUUCAUUUGAAGAUAUGUUUAAAACUAUAUCUGGUUUUGAGAAAAAGAAGGUUUUCUUGAAUAAUCAUAUGUUCUUGUUAUUAUAUAGGGUGCAGGGGUGGGCUGCAGUUUAAAUGCUUUGUACAUCCUAGUAUUGCUUUGGCUGUAGAAAACGCUAAACAAAUGCCCAUAUGAGGGGUUCUUCCUAGCCACUAGCUCAAUCAAUUUGGCUGGCUUAGGUGUUCUUAUGUUGAGAUACGGUGCUCAAGGCUAGCUAAUAAAGAUGCAUUUGUGACUGAAUUAAAAGCAAACCAAAAGUACACACCAAGAUUUAGCAUUUGAUUGUGCAAUAAUUUUAAGUAGCACAGGCUUUAUAAUUUGGAUUUCAGGUUAUUGUGUUUUACAUUGCAUUUGAAUUGCUCUCAAAUUUUUCUUAAUGUUUGUUUGGAUUAUGGACAUUGUAAUUGAUCCCCAUAAAUGACUGAUUUUGUCAUCAUCUUUCAGAUGAUCUUUAUACGUUGUCUUUCAAAUGCUAUAUGGGCCAUUUAUCUCUUCUAUAUCCUUUGCACAUUUAUUACGGAUCAACUUUUUAUUAGUAAGACCAGGAUGGCCCUGCCUUACUGAAUGGGAUCUAUGUGAGUGUUUCAUUUUAAUGUUUCAAUGUUUCAGGUAUCAAGAUAA
rnacentral:sRNA from 1 species